rnacentral:misc_RNA from 1 species
GUGAAUCAUCAAAUCUUUGAACGCAAAUUGCGCCUUUUUCGGGAGGAAUGUCUGUUUGAGGGCACCAUUUAACACAUACUCUUCAGCGUGUUUUUUUCCACCCGUUGACAAGCUUUCCAAGAAUGUUAAAUUUUUGGUGGCGCAUAAUGAACAGCGUGAAAGUUUUUUUCAGUUCGAGGGUAGUAAAAUCUUUUCUUGGGUUGUGAAAAGACAUAAUCGCGCUAUGGGUGUGGCAAUUUCUUUUUAUCCCUGCCCCAAUGCCACUCUUUCUCACGGAAGAAUGUCUAAUCUU